rnacentral:rRNA from 1 species
GUAGGGAAUAUUGGGCAAUGGAUGCAAGUCUGACCCAGCCAUCCCGCGUGCCGGAAGAAGGCCCUCAGGGUUGUAAACGGCUUUUGACGGUGAAGAAUCGACAGGAUGCGUCCUGUUUUGACGGUAGCCGUUGAAUAAGCACCGGCUAACUCCGUGCCAGCAGCCGCGGUAAUACGGAGGGUGCGAGCGUUGUCCGGAUUUAUUGGGUUUAAAGGGUGCGUAGGCUGGAAGGUCAGUCAGCGGUGAAAAGCUGUCGCUUAACGAUAGUCUUGCCGCAGAUACUUCCUUUCUUGGAUGAGGAGGAGGCCACUGGAACGGAUGGUGUAGCGGUGAAAUGCAUAGGUAUCAUCCAGAACACCGAUUGCGAAGGCAGGUGGCUGUACCUUAAUCGACGCUGAUGCACGAAAGCAUGGGGAGCAAACAGGAUUAGAUACCCUUGUAGUCC